rnacentral:rRNA from 1 species
GACGAACGCUGGCGGCGUGCCUAAUACAUGCAAGUCGAGCGCUGGGAGUUGGAACUUGUACCGACUGGAUUAGCAGCGAACGGGUGAGUAACACGUGGGGAAUCUGCCUUUGAGCGGGGGACAACAUCUGGAAACGAAUGCUAAUACCGCAUAAAAACUUUAAACACAAGUUUUAAGUUUGAAAGAUGCACUUGCAUCACUCAAAGAUGAUCCCGCGUUGGAUUAGCUAGUUUGGUAAGUAAAGGCCCACCAAGGCGAAGAUACAUAGCCGACCUGGGGGGGUGGACGGGCCAAACGGGAACGGGACAACGGUCCAGAUCCCUACGGGGGGCGCCGUAGGGGAACUUUGGCAAAUGAGCAAAGUCUGAACGGACCAAGGCGGGUGAGUGGAGAAGGUUCUCCGAAUGUAAAAAUCCGUUGGUAGGGAAGGAAGAUAGUGAGAGUUGAAAGCUCAUAACGUGACGGUACCUAACCAGAAAGCGACGGCUAACUACGUG